AGUGAACGCUGGCGGUAGGCCUAACACAUGCAAGUCGAACGGCCGCACAGUAAGCUCUUGCCCUUACGGUUGGCGACUGGCGGGCGGGUGAGGCAUACAUAGGCAUCUUCUUUUUCGUGGGGGAUUACGUGGGGCCACUUCCGCUACUACCGCAUAUGAUGUACCGGUGAGAGCAGGAGAUCUUCACACCUUUCCCGAUUGUUUGAGCCGAUGUCGGAUUAGCUAGUUGGCGAGGUAAAGUCCCACCAAGGCGACGAUCCGUAGCUGGUCUGAGAGGAUGAUCGGCCACACUGGAACUGAGACACGGUCCAGACUCCUACGGGAGGCAGCAGUGGGGAAUAUUGGACAAUGGGCGAAAGCCUGAUCCAGCAAUACCGCGUGGGUGAAGAAGGCCUUCGGGUUGUAAAGCCCUGUUGUUGGGAAAGAAAAGCAGUGGGUUAAUACCCCGAUGUUCUGACGGUACCCAAAGAAUAAGCAACGGCUAACUACGUG
rnacentral:rRNA from 1 species